UGCCUGGCAUAGCACAGUCUUUCUGUGGU
rnacentral:piRNA from 1 species